rnacentral:rRNA from 1 species
UGGAGGCAGCAGUAGGGAAUUUUCCGCAAUGGGCGAAAGCCUGACGGAGCGACGCCGCGUGGGUGAUGAAGGUUCUCGGAUCGUAAAACCCUUUUGUAGGGGAAGAAAUCCGCGAGGUUAACAGCGUCGCGGGAUGACUGUACCCUAAGAAUAAGCUCCGGCCAACUACGUGCCAGCAGCCGCGGUAAUACGCAGGGAGCGAGCGUUAUCCGGAAUCACUGGGCGUAAAGGGCUCGUAGGCGGUUCGGUAAGUUGCAUGUUAAAUCUCCGGGCUUAACCCGGAAACCGCGUGGAAUACUGUCGAGCUAGAGAGCGGGAGAGGGAAAUGGAAUUCCCGGUGUAGCGGUGAAAUGCAUAGACAUCGGGAAGAACACCAGUGGCGAAGGCGAUUUCCUAGACCGUUUCUGACGCUGAGGAGCGAAAGCCAGGGGAGCGAACGGGAUUAGAUACCCGUGUAGUCCC